GCUAAAUUGGCAGAUAAAGUGCCCUGGAUUUAGGAUUCAUACAUAAAAUUAAAAUUUUAUUUAGCA
rnacentral:tRNA from 1 species